rnacentral:rRNA from 1 species
AGUGAGCGCUGGCGGUAGGCCUAACACGUGCAAGUCGAACGGCAGCACAGUAAGAGCUUGCUCUUACGGGUGGCGAGUGGCGGACGGGUGAGGAAUACAUCGGAAUCUACUUUUUCGUGGGGGAUAACGUAGGGAAACUUACGCUAAUACCGCAUACGACCUACGGGUGAAAGCAGGGGAUCUUCGGACCUUGCGCGAUUGAAUGAGCCGAUGUCGGAUUAGCUAGUUGGCGGGGUAAAGGCCCACCAAGGCGACGAUCCGUAGCUGGUCUGAGAGGAUGAUCAGCCACACUGGAACUGAGACAUGGUCCAGACUCCUACGGGAGGCAGCAGUGGGGAAUAUUGGACAAUGGGCGCAAGCCUGAUCCAGCCAUACCGCGUGGGUGAAGAAGGCCUUCGGGUUGUAAAGCCCUUUUGUUGGGAAAGAAAAGCAGCAGGUUAAUACCCCGCUGUUCUGACGGUACCCAAAGAAUAAGCACGGGCUAACUUCGUG